rnacentral:rRNA from 1 species
AGGGCGCACGGUGGAUGCCUUGGCACUAGGAGCCGAUGAAGGACGGGACUAACACCGAUAUGCUUUGGGGAGCUGUAAGUAAGCUAUGAUCCAGAGAUUUCCGAAUGGGGGAACCCAAUAUCUUUUAUAGGAUAUUACUUUUCAGUGAAUACAUAGCUGAUUAGAGGUAGACGCAGAGAACUGAAACAUCUUAGUACCUGCAGGAAGAGAAAGAAAAUUCGAUUCCCUGAGUAGCGGCGAGCGAAACGGGAAGAGCCCAAACCAACAAGCUUGCUUGUUGGGGUUGUAGGACUCCAAUAUGGUAGUCUGUUAGUAUAGUUGAAGGAUUUGGAAAAUUCCGCUAAAGAGGGUGAAAGCCCCGUAGACGAAAUGCUGACAACACCUAGGAGGAUCCUGAGUACGGCGGAACACGAGAAAUUCCGUCGGAAUCCGCGGGGACCAUCCCGCAAGGCUAAAUACUCCCUAGUGACCGAUAGUGAACCAGUACCGUGAGGGAAAGGUGAAAAGCACCCCGGAAGGGGAGUGAAAUAGAUCCUGAAACCGUGUGCCUACAACAAGUCAAAGCUCGUUAAUGAGUGAUGGCGUGCCUUUUGUAGAAUGAACCGGCGAGUUACGAUUGCAUGCGAGGUUAAGUCGAAGAGACGGAGCCGCAGCGAAAGCGAGUCUGAAUAGGGCGAAUGAGUAUGUAGUCGUAGACCCGAAACCAUGUGAUCUACCCAUGUCCAGGUUGAAGGUGCGGUAAAACGCACUGGAGGACCGAACCCACGUACGUUGAAAAGUGCGGGGAUGAGGUGUGGGUAGCGGAGAAAUUCCAAACGAACUUGGAGAUAGCUGGUUCUCUCCGAAAUAGCUUUAGGGCUAGCCUCGGAAUUGAGAAUGAUGGAGGUAGAGCACUGUUUGGACUAGGGGCCCAUCUCGGGUUACCGAAUUCAGAUAAACUCCGAAUGCCAUUCAUUUAUAUCCGGGAGUCAGACUGCGAGUGAUAAGAUCCGUAGUCGAAAGGGAAACAGCCCAGACCACCAGCUAAGGUCCCAAAAUAUAUGUUAAGUGGAAAAGGAUGUGGGGUUGCACAGACAACUAGGAUGUUGGCUUAGAAGCAGCCACCAUUUAAAGAGUGCGUAAUAGCUCACUAGUCGAGUGACCCUGCGCCGAAAAUGUACCGGGGCUAAACAUAUUACCGAAGCUGUGGACUACACCAUUAGGUGUAGUGGUAGGAGAGCGUUCUAAGGGCGUUGAAGGUCGAUCGUGAGGACGGCUGGAGCGCUUAGAAGUGAGAAUGCCGGUAUGAGUAGCGAAAGACAGGUGAGAAUCCUGUCCACCGUAUGACUAAGGUUUCCUGGGGAAGGCUCGUCCGCCCAGGGUUAGUCGGGACCUAAGCCGAGGCCGAUAGGCGUAGGCGAUGGACAACAGGUUGAUAUUCCUGUACCAGUUGUUUUUGUUUGAGCAAUGGAGGGACGCAGUAGGCUAAGGAAUGCAUGCGAUUGGAAGUGCAUGUCCAAGCAAUGAGUCUUGAGUAGAGUUAAAUGCUUUACUCUCUAAGGACAAGUUGUGACGGGGAGCGAAAUAAUAGUAGCGAAGUUCCUGAUGUCACACUGCCAAGAAAAGCUUCUAGUGAGAAAACAACUGCCCGUACCGUAAACCGACACAGGUAGUCGAGGAGAGUAUCCUAAGGUGAGCGAGCGAACUCUCGUUAAGGAACUCGGCAAAAUGACCCCGUAACUUCGGGAGAAGGGGUGCUGACUUCGGUCAGCCGCAGUGAAUAGGCCCAAGCGACUGUUUAUCAAAAACACAGGUCUCUGCAAAAUCGUAAGAUGAAGUAUAGGGGCUGACGCCUGCCCGGUGCUGGAAGGUUAAGAGGAUGGGUUAGCUUCGGCGAAGCUCAGAAUUGAAGCCCCAGUAAACGGCGGCCGUAACUAUAACGGUCCUAAGGUAGCGAAAUUCCUUGU